CGCCACCUACCGGACGGACAGGUGAACUACGCCUUGAAUUAACGAGAGGGGACCUCCGUUUUGGUGGAAGACAACGGAGGGACAGAUGAUCAUGUUUUGCAGAGCAGGUUUGGACACCCCUGCAACCUGCGGACCCAGUGCCACAAGAGGCUGUUUGGACCUUCCACAACGA